rnacentral:rRNA from 1 species
UACGUAGGUGGCAAGCGUUGUCCGGAUUUACUGGGCGUAAAGAGCGCGCAGGCGGUUGAUUAAGUCGAAUGUGAAAGCCCCCGGCUCAACUGGGGAGGGUCAUUCGAUACUGAUCGACUUGAAGGCAGGAGAGAGAAGUGGAAUUCCCGGUGUAGUGGUGAAAUGCGUAGAUAUCGGGAAGAACACCAGUGGCGAAGGCGCUCUACUGGGCCACAACUGACGCUGAGGGACGAAAGCUAGGGGAGCGAAAGGG